rnacentral:rRNA from 1 species
CCCUUAGAUGUUCUGGGCCGCACGCGUGCUACACUGAGUGGAUCAGCGGGUCAGGUUGCGCGAAAGCGUUUCCUAAUCUUUAAAUCCGCUCGUGAUGGGGAUUGACGGUUGCAAUUUUCUGUCAUGAACGAGGAAUACCUUGUAAGCGCGGGUCAUCAUCCCGCGCUGAAUACGUCCCUGCCCUUUGUACACACCGUCCGUCGCUCCUACCGAUUGAGUGGUCCGGUGAGACUUUGGGAUCUGAGCGGAAAGAGCGUUUCGCUGUUUCUGCUCGGAAAACUCAGUCGAACCUUAUCAUUUAGAGGAAGGAGAAGUCGUAACA